rnacentral:lncRNA from 1 species
UUGGAACCAGAUUCAUUCACCCAGCCACAUUUAAGAGCUUCUGGGGCUGUGUGUCAGACAUUCUGCUAGUUGCUGGCAUAGAGUGAUGGAGAAAGUAAACACAGUGCCUGGUCUCAGGGGCUCCCAGACCAGCAGGGCAGGCUGACAGAUACACAUUUGCUCACACCUGACUACUAGCAGGGGCAACAUGCAGAGGCCCAUGAAGGAGGCGUUGGGCUGGAGCUAGGGCUCCGGGUGUGACUUGGCCCCUGCCUUUUGUCCGGACUGGAUGACUCAGGGCAGCCAGGCUGGAGAGGCAGAAGGAAGCAAGGAGACUGAUGGAGGAAAUGCUUCAGAGAAGAGGAAAUAUGCAGAAUGUCCCUUUCUCAUCCCACGUGGCUCAGAAUGAUGAAGUACAUGCCGGCCAUUGGAUGUGUCAGGAAUGGUCAAUAAACAAUGACAAAGGAUCUUUCACAUUCUCUCAAUAAACACUGCUGCUCCUUCUCACCAUCUUCCUUGAUAAACACCAGCUGGAGUGAAGCUUUCACCCGAGAGGCAGCUCAUUGCCAUGAUGGAGGAUAAAGUCAGUGGCUGCCUGAAUUUAUCAUUGCCCCUCUUUUUUUUUUUAAAGGCAUGGUAACUGGUGGGGGCUGCCUGGUUUUGGGCCCUGGAUUCUAGUGGCUUCCUUCCUCACGUGGCAGACAUCAAGUGUGAUGACUUAUUUAUCUUUUUCUUUAACUCUGUCAUCCCAGCUUCUUGCUGGGGUGGAGUGAGAAGGAAAAGAGACUUCAGGGCAGUUGAGUGUGAGAGUGGCCAAUAGGGGAGGGGAGAAAGAGGAUUUGAAGAGUGUGUUGUACAUAAGGAAUGGGCAUUCCCCUCUUUGCUGUUUUCAUGAGAAACAACAGAAAGGAACUAAAUGUAUUUUUGGAUGUUGAACUAGUGUUUAAUUGAAUGCUAUACUGGACCAAGAUGGGGCCACCACUCUCAGCUCCUAGCUUACUCCCUGUGCUUAGGACAGUGCCUGAUGAUGGUAAGCACUUAAUACAUAUUCGUUGAAUGAGAUACCAGCAUUCUGGUUCCAGGUAUAUAUCUCGUGAAUCCAAUGCCAUAGAUCUCCAAAUGUAUACAUUAAAGAUAAACAGCCUCUAAAUCUCCUUUUUAUGGAAGGAGCCAGUUAUUAUAACUCUUCUUUUGACAUUUCCCUGUCCUCCUCUAGAGGAAGAUAGAUGUGUGGUAAUAGCCCAUGAACAAGCUAUAAUAUAGAAGGGAAAGUGAUCUAAUAUAGGGGAGAAAUGGCCCCAGGUCACAAUCAUGAGUGGGUGAGGAAAAGAAGAGGCAGAGACACACAGAGGUUGGUCAUGUGAUUCCUGAUAUGAGCUUGGGCAUAGGGUUGAGGGACAUCCUCUUAUAUUUUGUGCAUGUAGGGCAGAUGGAAGGGGGCUACUCUCUUACCCUGGACUUUUACUCCUGAUUCUGACUCAUUCAGUA